GCUCCGGUGGCCUAGUGGUUAGAUCGUCCGCCUCGGAUGCGAGAGGUCAUGGGUUCGAUCCCCAGUCGAGUCA